UACGGAGGGAGCUAGCGUUGUUCGGAAUUACUGGGCGUAAAGCGCACGUAGGCGGCUUUGUAAGUUAGAGGUGAAAGCCCGGGGCUCAACCCCGGAAUUGCCUUUAAGACUGCAUCGCUUGAAUCCAGGAGAGGUGAGUGGAAUUCCGAGUGUAGAGGUGAAAUUCGUAGAUAUUCGGAAGAACACCAGUGGCGAAGGCGGCUCACUGGCCCGAUACUGACGCUGAGGCACGAAAGCGUGGGGAUCAAACAGG
rnacentral:rRNA from 1 species